rnacentral:siRNA from 1 species
GGGCGUUCAGAUAUUCGGGUCGGG